AAUCCUGUUGUGCUGGAUUCAGAGGGUUGGGCGGAGGCUUUCCUGAAGGCUCUG
ensembl:miRNA